GUUUAUUUGAAGUUACAGCCUUACAGACACACAUCCUUAAGUCUGCAUCGGCAUCUAAAGCUGCAUUCUAAAUUCUAUGGACCAUUCAGAGUCCUUGAGAGAAUUGGAAACCAUGCUUACAAGUUUUUGUUGCCAGAAGGUUGUUUACUACAUGAUACAUUCCAUGUCAGCCAGUUGAAAAAGCAUAUUGGACCUGCAGUGGUGCCUUCAACCAAACUACCGCUGGUAUGUCCUGAUGGUAUAAUCAAGCUGGAACCCGAGGCUGUUCUUGAAAGGAAACUGAUUCCCAGGAAGCAAGGUAAUAUCAGCAUCCCUAUCAUCAGAUGGUUGGUUAAAUGGAACAAACUUCUAGCGGAAGAGGCUACGUGGGAGGAUUCAGCGUUUAUCCAGAAAGUUUUUCCUGCUUUCAGAGCUUGA
rnacentral:rRNA from 1 species